CUCACGUAAUACUUGGGAAGCUGCUCACGACACACCAACCUCAGGUCUUGAGGUUGAAUCCAGAUUCACUAAUGCUAUGUCCUUUUUCAUAGAUGCAGGGUGGCUUCAGGAAGUCUCCUAGGCUCUGUCUGGGGUGGGAGUCAAGCCCAGCAGAAGAAGAGCCUUCCUACACAUAGAUCUUCUAUGUCUCUGCACGGAUAUGAGGCCCUCCUAUGUUCCCAAGCAGAGAAUGUGUAGGAUGCUCAGAGUUUUCUGUGAAGUCUACACUCACACGUGAUGGAGGUGAAACAACAGACUCUGGAACAAGGAACAUGCAUGCCAUUCAUGUCCCUUCUUUUCUUCAGGAAUCAGAUGCUGAGGUAACGUCGGAACUUCAAAUGGUUACUAGAGAUCCAAACCUAUAA
rnacentral:lncRNA from 1 species